UUAAACCACUAGGGGAGUCCUUGUUUAAGGGCUGAGAUGAAAGUGAGACUUUCGGACCCUUAUGUACCUGAACAGGUUCAGACCUGCGUAGGGAAGUGGCGAGGCAUUUGC
rnacentral:ncRNA from 1 species